rnacentral:lncRNA from 1 species
AGGUGAACCCCGGGCGGAAGGGCGUGGGCGUCAAUCUCAGGUCCAUUGGCAAGAACUGCAACCCGGUGGAUCUCAAGUUCACUGGCAAGGCCGCCUACGACGUCUAAGAUCUCAUUUCUAGUUCUCCGUGUAAACCAUGAAACUUUAAAAGCAGUCCAUGGGCCUUGCAUCUCUCACCUUUGAGUAAAUGGAUCUCGAUCGAACUGUGUAAAUCUAUCUUCUCUUCGUUCCAUCUUUUCUUCAUUUUUUAAGUAAUGUUUAUGAUAACAAAGAACGCAAGUUUGAAAAGCUUGUACUGCAUGUGGUGGUGUUCUCAGGUAUGAAAAGUUUGUUCACCUCAGUAUCUACUGCAGCUAGGUAGACGUUUCAGUCUUGCCUUUGUCCAUUUGAACCUACAUAUAAACAUACACUUUAAAUCAUAUUGAAAACUAUGGUGUAUGAUUCUUCAUAUCCUUUCAUCUCUUCUUGUACAAGAUUCUUGUGUAGAAUCACAUAUGUUACAUAUGAAAACUUUUUAAAUCAUGAAUUACCUUUAUGUUGCUAGUAAUGUUUAUAUGCUUAUGUAUACAUAGGAAAUAAAUGGGGAAAAUCAUUCUUACACUGCCGCAAACAUGGACACAAGGAAAACCAUAUGGUAUGUAUAUGUUGUAACUGAGAAUGUAUGUUUACAACAACAAAAAAAAAACAA